rnacentral:rRNA from 1 species
UGGGGAAUAUUGCACAAUGGGCGGAAGCCUGAUGCAGCAACGCCGCGUGAGUGAUGAAGGCCUUCGGGUUGUAAAGCUCUGUCUUUUGGGACGAUAAUGACGGUACCAAAGGAGGAAGCCACGGCUAACUACGUGCCGGCAGCCGCGGCAAUACGUAGGUGGCAAGCGUUGUCCGGAUUUACUGGGCGUAAAGGAUGCGUAGGCGGAUUUUUAAGUGAGAUGUGAAAUACCCGGGCUUAACUUGGGUGCUGCAUUUCAAACUGGGAAUCUAGAGUGCGGGAGAGGAGAAUGGAAUUCCUAGUGUAGCGGUGAAAUGCGUAGAGAUUAGGAAGAACACCAGUGGCGAAGGCGAUUCUCUGGACCGUAACUGACGCUGAGGCAUGAAAGCGUGGGUAGCAAACAGGAUUAGAUACCCUGGUAGUCCACGCCGUAAACGAUGAGUACUAGGUGUAGGAGGUAUCGACCCCUUCUGUGCCGCAGUUAACACAAUAAGUACUCCGCCUGGGAAGUACGAUCGCAAGAUUAAAACUCAAAUGAAUUGUCGGGGUCAAUAGCUGUUUCC